UGGAUCAACUAUGACCACUGAUGAUGUAUGAUCCGGGAUCAUGAAUACAGGUCUGGGAGUCUGAGGUUCAC
ensembl:snoRNA small nucleolar RNA SNORD113/SNORD114 family